rnacentral:lncRNA from 1 species
UUCCGCAGAUGAUAGAUCUUAUUCGAGAGAGUUUGGAACCCUAUUUUCCUUCCCAAUUGUUUGACCACGACCGUACGAGACAUACUCUGAUAUAGUAUCUGGUGAACCCUGUUAGAGAAACGAUAAAGGGUAGACCAUCCUCUAUUCCCGUAGUCACAUCAUCAUUAAGAAGCUAUAGAUCAUCCUUAUGUUGUUCAUGCAUACUAUCCCCAU